rnacentral:rRNA from 1 species
AACGUAGGACGCAAGCGUUAUCCGGAGUUACUGGGCGUAAAGGGCGCGUAGGCGGUCAGCACAAGUCAGUUGUGAAAUCUCCGAGCUUAACUCGGAAAGGUCAACUGAUACUGUGCGACUAGAGUGCGGAAGGGGCAACUGGAAUUCUUGGUGUAGCGGUGAAAUGCGUUGAUAUCAGGAGGAACACCGGCGGCGAAGGCGACGCUCUGGUCCAUUUCUGACGCUGAGGUGCGAAAGCCAGGGGAGCAAACGGG